AUGAGGAAGACAAAAUUCAUGUCUCAGCCUUUUAAUUAACACUUGACAUGGAAGCUUAUGCAGACUGGUUGGACUGGCUCAUUCAAAUGUGUGACAGGGUGUGCUGAAUAAUUCAAGCCCCUGCCUGACCUAUAAACCUUUUUCUAAAAUAUUAUGUCAUGCAACAUGUCCUCAGGCUGUAGGUGCGGCUGACUGUCAUCCCUUUAGAAAGUCUAAUCUAAACAGAGGGGAAAUAUAGAAAAUUGGGCAACUUUAUCCAGCUGCUUCUCCACACCUUUGGCCUCAGAGUUGCCAGUCCCAACAAGUUCCCGGUCCAAGUUCUGCUCGACCCGAACUCUGCACUGCCUCUGCUGCCCCGCAGUCAAGCAACAUUCAAUCCAUCUUUGGCCCAGCUACGGCGUUGAAAGCAGAGGUGCUUUCGAUUUUGAACUCCGCGUGUGUGAAUCAUUGUUGACGUGCUGUUGUGGUACGCCAGUUCUGCUUCGCAGUAGACACAUUGCACUUUAUCUUAUUUUUAAGUGCGAAAUUAUUCUAAACUUUGGACAUUACCUGUCUUUUACGGAUGGUUUCUUGGCUCUCUGGCAUACCACUAACUCAGUUCUAAUUGAAGUGUGUGUGUGUUUGUGUGUCCGCAAUAACAGUCGGUGUGGAAAAAUGACCCCUGAGCUAAGCAGGCCACAUGACGGAGAUGACAGGAAUCUAACGAGGCCUUAAGGCAGAGAUUUUACUUUGACCAUUUAUUUGAGUUACUCGAGUAAUCGUUUCAGCUUUAUUGAAUAUGUUUAAUAUCUACAAUUUAAAACCCUGAUUACAUUGGUACUUUCCGAGCCGGACCAGAAAACAAAUGAGACGGCAGCUGAAGGUGCUGUCUAGACAUGGUAAAGAUUCCAGACCUGACGCUAAAGUUACCUAACAUACUAAUAUUGACAGAAAAAUAAAAAUCUCACCUCAAGUUCUCGCUGAAUAAUAGAAAACCUGUGUUGACCACAUCUCCCCAAUCAUCCAGAAUCAUUUAACCUUCUGCCUUUAGUUUUUUCUCACUGCAACAAGUUAUUACAGCAAGUUGUUGCACCUCGCUAAUCUCCAUUUUGUUUAUAUGUGCUUCCCCAUGAGAUGAGGUGUGAGCCCCUCUUCAGUCUGCAGAGCCAUGAAGCCAGAGUGUUUCAUCCACAGCUCAGUUCAGUCAUGCUUUUGACUGUGGAUCCAUUGGAAUCAGAGUGUGGAGUACACUGCAGUCUACUACAGAUCAGUGUUAAAUCUAGGAACCUGCAGCACCAGAUAUGUUCCACCCCUGAAGCCAAAAACUGAUGUUAAAAAUAGAUUACUUUUUGGGAAGCACUUUUAUAAAAUGAUUACUUACAUUGACAUUACAUCCCAAAAAUAGUUGUGCUAAAAUUAAACCCACUUCUAAAGCAAGACAGCAGCAUGUAUUGGAUUAACCCUGUGCCCUUCUCGCCUGGACUCCUUGAAAUGUCAGUUUGAUGUUAAUUUAAAACCAGGGACUUCUCUUACACCCGUCACAGAAGAGGAGCUGUAAUCUGACCUGUCAUACGAAAUGGACGGUACAGGCCUACAAAGUGCCACAAAGCAGGUCAGAUGAUCCAGUUGUAAAGCUAUAGGGUUAAUCAGGCACCCUUAACCCUUGACAUUUGUCUUGCUACUGUAGUUAAAGAAGGAAAGUCUUCCGAGAACUCACCACGUCACCCUUCCAGACUUGGCUCCGUGCAGUAUUAGGAGCAGUGAAAUACUUACUACGCUGGUGGAGUCUUCCCCAAUGUUUAUAUGAUUCUUAUAUUCACAAUAAUUGAGUGGAUCUUAGUCCGUUCCACAUAUCUUGAUCUGUCCAGUGUCAUUAGCAGAGAUGGAGAAAAUUCUCUACAGUCAGGAUGAGAUUGUCCCAAACAUCAGUCUCUCUUACAUGCACUAGAUAAAAUAACAGAAAUGAAUCCAAACGGGUAGUAUACAAUCCAGUUUAUCAACAGAUUUUUGUUAAAAAAAAAAAAAAGUUAACUGCUACUGUCAAUAAUACUGAGAUUAGUGUCAAUAUGGAAAUAUUGAGAUAUUUAUAUUACAUUUAAGAAAACAGUAAAUUGAAUAAUCAAUUAUCAUUUUACCAUGUAUAAGUCAUUUUAGACAAAGUUUAUUGUUAAAUUGUGAAAUAUUCUGGCUUCAUUACAUCUCUGUCACAGGUGUUUGAUAACCACAUGUAUAUAAUUUCAAUUAUGAUGAUACUUCUAACAAACACUCACACAGUCUCACACACUGCCAGCCAAUGUACACAAUCUGUCAGCGUGUUAUUCAUUGCACUCCUUAUUUAUAUACGUCCUGCUGCUUUUAUAGCCUCUCAUAGCCAUAAAUCCUGUUUUCUAUACUUUGUCAUCCCCACCUAUCAUGUUGUAUAAACAGACUAUGGGAAUUGCUGGUUGUGUUAUGUUUAAUCCCACCAUUUCCUCUUUGGGUUAGGGUUAGGCUUUUGUUGUAUUUCUAUUUAUGCUGCUGCAACAACAGAAGCAUUUCUCACAGUAGAUCACCUGUCUUAUCCCACAUAUUUCAGCCUUAAAUCUCACUGAAAUGAAUGCUCCCACUACUUUAUGAUAAGUACUGAAAACUUGACGUGGGUAGGUCAUUUUGGCACAGAUGAAGGCAGAUUAUUCUCAAGAGAACACCUUUUCCCAUUCUUCCCACAUACCAGCUUUACUCCUUCAGUUUUGAUAAUGACUGCAGAUGUUUUUGUGGUAGAUGCUUGAUAAUUAGCUGGAUUAUCUUCAACACACACAGAGUGAGCAACAACAUAAACCAAAUGGUUUCCUCUGCGGUGGGGUUGGAUGGAAAAUGUGUUGCAUCAUGCACAGCUAUAGUAGUUUUUGUUCUGUUUUGUUUUGUUUAUACUGAUCUUGAAGCGGCUAAGUCCAAGACUCUGCCCAGACUCUGUCAAGUCCAGACUCUGUCAAGUCAAUCCAGUCCUAGACUGUACCUUGUUUCAUGAAGGUCACAACAUAUCAUGAUGUGUAAAAUGUUCUAUGUUGAAAAAACAUCUGGUAUUGAUCUAUAAUUUGAUAACACACUGUGUAGUUGGAGAUCAUUUACAGUGAUUCUGUCACUCUCUA